rnacentral:lncRNA from 1 species
UCCCAUUAGGCCCCACCUUCAACAUUGGGGUCAAACUUCAACAUGAGAUUUAGAGGGGACAAACAUCCAAACUACAGCAUUCCGCCAAACUAUAGCAUUCUCAUAGUGCAAAAUACAAUCAUUCCAUCCCAAUAGUUCUCAAAAUUGUUAACUUAUUCCACCAUCAACUCAAAAGCCUAAAGUCAACAGUCUCAUCUCAGACUCAAACUGAAUUGGCAGUUAUGUCUUCAUGGCAAAUGUUUGUUUUUACAAAUGAGCAAUGAAGCAGAAUCCUGGAGACGCAACAGUAAAAC